GACGAACGCUGGCGGCGUGCCUAAUACAUGCAAGUCGAGCGGACAGAAGGGAGCUUGCUCCCGGAAGUUAGCGGCGGACGGGUGAGUAAUACGUGGGCAACCUACCCUGUAGAUCGGGAUAACAUCGAGAAAUCGGUGCUAAUACCGGAUAAUCAUUUGAAGUGCAUGCUUCGAAUGUAAAAGAUGGCUCCGGCUAUCACUACGGGGUGGGCCCGCGGCGCAUUAGCUGGUUGGUAAGGUAAUGGCUUACCAAUGCAACGAUGCGUAGCCGACCUGGGAGGGGGAGCGGCCACGAUGGGACGGGUGCUCGGCGCAGACUACGCCGGGAGGCAGCAGGAGGGAAUGUUCCGCAAUGGACGACAGGCUGACGGAGCAACGCGGCGUGAGUGAUGAAGGUUUUCGGAUCGUAAAGCUCUGUUGUUAGGGAAGAACAAGUGCCGUGUGAAUAAGGCGGCUCCUUGACGGUACCUAACCAGAAAGCCACGGCUAACUACGUGCCAGCAGCCGCCGUAACAC
rnacentral:rRNA from 1 species